rnacentral:rRNA from 1 species
AUUGAACGCUGGCGGCAGGCCUAACACAUGCAAGUCGAGCGGAUGAAGGUAGCUUGCUACCUGAUUCAGCGGCGGACGGGUGAGUAAUGCCUAGGAAUCUGCCUGGUAGUGGGGGACAACGUUUCGAAAGGAACGCUAAUACCGCAUACGUCCUACGGGAGAAAGUGGGGGAUCUUCGGACCUCACGCUAUCAGAUGAGCCUAGGUACGAUUAGCUAGUUGGUGAGGUAAAGGCUCACCAAGGCGACGUUCGUUAACUGGUCUGAGAGGAUGCUCGAUCCGACUGGAACUGAGACACGGUCCAGACUCCUACGUGAGGCAGCGGUGGGGAGUAUUGGACAAUGGGCGAAAGCCUGAUCCAGCCAUGCCGUGUGUGUGAAGAAGGUCUUCGGAUUGUAAAGCACUUCAAGUUGGGAGGAAGGGCAGUAAGUUAAUACCUUGCUGUUUUGACGUUACCGACAGAAUAAGCACCGGCUAACUUCGUGCCAGCCGCCGCGGUAACAC